CCUACGGGAGGCUGCAGUGGGGAAUAUUGGACAAUGGGGGGAACCCUGAUCCAGCCAUGCCGCGUGUGUGAAGAAGGCCCUCGGGUUGUAAAGCACUUUCAGUGAGGAAGAACGCCUGGUGGUUAAUACCCAUCAGGAAAGACAUCACUCACAGAAGAAGCACCUGCUAACUCCGUGCCAGCAGCCGCGGUAAUACGGAGGGUGCGAGCGUUAAUCGGAAUUACUGGGCGUAAAGCGCGCGUAGGUGGCUUGAUAAGCCGGUUGUGAAAGCCCCGGGCUCAACCUGGGAACGGCAUCCGGAACUGUCAAGCUAGAGUGCAGGAGAGGAAGGUAGAAUUCCCGGUGUAGCGGUGAAAUGCGUAGAGAUCGGGAGGAAUACCAGUGGCGAAGGCGGCCUUCUGGACUGACACUGACACUGAGGUGCGAAAGCGUGGGUAGCAAACAGGAUUAGAUACCCUUGUAGUC
rnacentral:rRNA from 1 species